GCCACGUCGGUGUCCGUGAGCGGGCGAUCGAGUUCGUGGGUCAAACCUCGAUGUCCGGGCUGCAUCGGCGCCCCCCAGCCAGAUUCCUGAUGGCCGGCGGCGGACAACGAAGGGGAUCUGCAGGAGGGAGGGGCGUGAUGCUGGCCCCGACUGCUGACGCCCAAGGACCGGCUGGGAUAGAGCAGCCCCAAGCCGCAACGGAGGAAAACAAAACGGUGUUUUCAGCAAGAUGAUCUUAUACUGAAGGACUUUGUUCGAAAAAUCAUGUACUUCCAACUUUUGGGGGGACAGGGAAUGUUAAAAUUUCCUUCUACUGUGUCCUUACUUGGCAAAUUAAAAAGUGACAGCCCAA